rnacentral:rRNA from 1 species
UACGUAGGUGGCAAGCGUUGUCCGGAAUUACUGGGCGUAAAGGGUGCGUAGGUGGUUUCUUAAGUCAGAGGUGAAAGGCUACGGCUCAACCGUAGUAAGCAUUUGAAACUGGGAAACUUGAGUGCAGGAGAGGAGAGUGGAAUUCCUAGUGUAGCGGUGAAAUGCGUAGAUAUUAGGAGGAACACCAGUUGCGAAGGCGGCUCUCUGGACUGUAACUGACACUGAGGCACGAAGGCGUGGGGAGCAAACAGGAUUAGAUACCCGCGUAGUCCCUGA